rnacentral:tRNA from 1 species
GUUGCGAUGGCCGAGUGGUUAAGGCGUUUGACUCGAAAUCCAAUGGGUUUUUCCCGCGCAGGUUCGAACCCUGCUCGCAACG